rnacentral:rRNA from 1 species
UGGGGGAUAUUGCGCAAUGGGGGAAACCCUGACGCAGCAACGCCGCGUGAAGGAAGACGGUUUUCGGAUUGUAAACUUCUUUUGUUAAGGACGAAAAAGAUGACGGUACUUAAGGAAUAGGCCCCGGCUAACUACUUGCCAGCAGCCGCGGUAAUACAUAGGGAGCAAGCGUUGUCCGGAUUUACUGGGUGUAAAGGGUGCGUAGGCGGCAAGGCAAGUCAGAUGUGAAAUGUAAGGGCUCAACCCUUAAGCUGCAUUUGAAACUGUUUUGCUUGAGUGAAGUAGAGGCAGGCGGAAUUCCCGGUGUAGCGGUGAAAUGCGUAGAGAUCGGGAGGAACACCAGUGGCGAAGGCGGCCUGCUGGGCUUUAACUGACGCUGAGGCACGAAAGCGUGGGUAGCAAACAGG